rnacentral:lncRNA from 1 species
CCGAAGUCACGGAAGCCCCGCCUCUAGCUGGGGGUGGGGCCCACGAGACCCCAGGCUUGGAGAGCGGGAAAGACGCCGCUUGGCUGCGGUAAGACUCUCGGCUGUGACACUAGGACGAGGCGGCGGACCCCAGCCACGUGACCCUGCAGACGUGUGCUGCGCACGUGAGGCGCAAACAGGUGUUCCUGCUUAGCAAGCUGCCCCCGCCCCCCACCCCGGACCGGAAGUGGCUGACUCCUCACUCCCCGCCCCCCCGCCGCAUCCCAUUGGCUCAGCUCAGUCACGUGUCUGCCCCAACUGCAAGGGGUGCUGGGAAGGCGCUCUUGGCUGCCCGCGGGUUCGGCAGAGGCUCUCGCGGCCCGUAACACGGGGUGGCGCCCCCAGGCGGCAGCAAAACCGAGGCGCUGUUGCCUCCCUGAACGUGGGGAGAAGGCGGCAGGUGGGCAAGGGCCACAUAUGGCCACCCGGGAUGACCCUGGCCACGGGACUGUCUAGCGAAAUGCCCCAACCCACCUCCUGGAGUUACUCAAGGGGUAGAAAACGUCGUCACGAGUUGAGAAGCGCCUGCUGGAUUCCAGAUUUGGAGAAGCAGGUCCAUUUGAGAGAAAACAUUCGGGAAACAUCAGCAGAGGUGGCAGAAAGAGCCCUAACAGCUGCGUGGCAUCCUUCCUGGACCUCAGUUUGCUCAUCUGGAAAACGCGGAUGAUCCUAGCACCAUCCCCAGAACAAUCCCUUGAGAACCAACCCUCUGAGUCUGGAAUCUCGAAGAAAGAGUUAAAUCCACUCCGGGGCGGUGACAUUUGCAAUGCAUGAAGUUUAAACAUUUUCAAUAAAGAAAAACAAAUCCAGGCCA